rnacentral:rRNA from 1 species
GACGAACGCUGGCGGCGUGCUUAACACAUGCAAGUCGAACGGAAAGGCCCUGCUUUUGUGGGGUGCUCGAGUGGCGAACGGGUGAGUAACACGUGUGUAACCUGCCCUUGACUUUGGGAUAACUUCAGGAAACUGGGGCUAAUACCGGAUAGGAGCUCUUGCUGCAUGGUGGGGGUUGGAAAGUUUCGGCGGUUGGGGAUGGACUCGCGGCUUAUCAGCUUGUUGGUGGGGUAGUGGCUUACCAAGGCUUUGACGGAUAGCCGGCCUGAGAGGGGUACCGGCCACAUGGGGACUGAGAUACGGCCCAGACUCCUACGGGAGGCAGCAGUGGGGAAUAUUGCACAAUGGGCGGAAGCCUGAUGCAGCAACGCCGCGUGCGGGAUGACGGCCUUCGGGUUGUAAACCGCUUUCGCCUGUGACGAAGCGUGAGUGACGGUAAUGGGUAAAGAAGCACCGGCUAACUACGUG